AGUGAACGCUGGCGGUAGGCCUAACACAUGCAAGUCGAACGGCAGCACAGUAAGAGCUUGCUCUUACGGGUGGCGAGUGGCGGACGGGUGAGGAAUACAUCGGAAUCUACUUUUUCGUGGGGGAUAACGUAGGGAAACUUACGCUAAUACCGCAUACGACCUACGGGUGAAAGCAGGGGAUCUUCGGACCUUGCGCGAUUGAAUGAGCCGAUGUCGGAUUAGCUAGUUGGCGGGGUAAAGGCCCACCAAGGCGACGAUCCGUAGCUGGUCUGAGAGGAUGGUCAGCCACACUGGAGCUGAGACACGGUCCAGACUCCUACGAGAGGCAGCAGUGGGGAAUAUUGGACAAUGGGCGCAAGCCUGAUCCAGCCAUACCGCGUGGGUGAAGAAGGCCUUCGGGUUGUAAAGCCCUUUUGUUGGGAAAGAAAAGCAGCAGGUUAAUACCCCGCUGUUCUGACGGUACCCAAAGAAUAAGCACCGGCUAACUUCGUG
rnacentral:rRNA from 1 species